UUCAUUGAAAAAUGUGAACAUUGGCUGGGCACGGUGGCUCACACCUGUAAUCCCAGCACUUUGGGAGGCCGAGGUGGCUGGAUCAUUUGAGGUCAGGAGUUUGAGACGAGCCUGGCCAACAUGAUCUAUGCCCUGAUAGGUCUUCAGUUACUCAUGGUGAAACAUGUUAGAUAUUAGGUCCCAUAAGAGCACGUGGCCAAGAUGGCCAGCUCCACCAAAGAUUCAUACUUCCCCUUCCAUAGUAUGGAGUUGUGCUGGGAAGCAGUUUUCCCACCAGGGACAACAUCUUCUAGUCCUUUUACAUCUAAGUAGUACCAUGAGACUGGAUCAUGCCAAAGAAAUGUUUUGGAAGUGAGAUGUUUCACUUUGGAACCAAGGAACUGAAAAAACAGGAGAAUGGGAAGUCCCAAUGCACAGGUCAACCCCUGAACAACUAAUGAGCACCAGUGUAUGCCAGGCAUUGGGAAGGUUUCAAAGAAAACCAAGAG